rnacentral:sRNA from 1 species
UGACCCUAACGGGUCACCUAGCCAACUGACGUUGUUAGUGAACUUAGUAUUCACAAAUGACAGCCAAUAGAACCAUUUCUAUUGGCUAUUUUUUU